AAGACUUCUAGACACGUCCGGACUUAGAAUGUAUGUAGAGCUGGGGCGGGUUGUGCACUUGUGGUGGCCUCUACUGCUUUGCAAAGCCAUUGCCGAGGGGUUUCACCCGACCACACACAAGGCUAGUCCGUUACCGCGGAAUAAACCUUCAAUGAUAGCGCCUACCCUAGGACCUCCCACUACUCCCACCACACGCGUCAAUCCUCUCUAAGUGAGAAUGAAA
rnacentral:lncRNA from 1 species